AUUAAGCUUUGAGAAAAGCGCCCUAGAUGGGGAACCUGCACACACCAUGAAAUCAUCAGCUUUGUUUCCCCUUCUGUUCUCUGGCAAUUAGAAGUUGAAGCUCCAGGAGCUCGCCACUCGUCCCCCAAACUCCGCAGGGCGGCAGGCGCUCAGCCGCCCUGCCCACCGGCGCCCCAAGCUGUUUACCCGUUCUUCAGUCCAGCCGUCCGCCGGCCCGACCUCCCAUACUUGACCAUCUCUCUGCCUGGCCAGCCACCACGUGGCCGUGGGAACGCCGGGCUCCGGAGUCCUCCAGCAGCCGCGCCGCCUUGGCGCCCCAACCUCCCCGCGCCGCUCGCCCCGCGAAGCGCUGCGUACUCACCGGCUGCGCUCCCGACUUCGCCGCGCUCCACUUGAAACUGAAAGCAGGCGCGGAGUAGCCCGGCGGCGGGCUCUCGGAGCCGGCUGCCUCUGCUGGGAAAUCACGUGGGUUCUCGGUGCCCGGGCGCGGGACGGGCGGGGCGGCACACCCGCUCCAGUGCCUCCUGCGCUCAGCCACCUGCGCGGACAGGACCCGGGGAUGGCACCAAGGGAAAGCCCCUCCCGUGGAUGUGAAACCGAGGCGCAGGGAUGAGGAUGGGCGCACCCGGGGGGCGCCGGUAGACCCCGGGCUGAGUUCCGCUUUCCCUGCCUCCCUGGAGACUAA
ensembl:lncRNA